GGUGGUUGGAUAAAGUCCUUGGGAAUGUGGCUCCCUUCGGGGAGUGUUAUAGCCCAAGGUGCAAUGCAGCCUUCUGGGACCGAGGACCGCGCUUCGGCUAGGAUGCUGGCGUAAUGGUUGUAAGCGA
rnacentral:rRNA from 1 species